AGCCGCAACACGGGGAGACCAGACGUCUGCCUUUGAUGCAGAGAGAGAUAAUAGGUGAGUGGGGGGAACCUGGAAAGCAAAAAGAUACCAAAGGCCAUCUGGAGGUGAUAGUGGGAGUGAAUUGGAGGUGAGUCAGCCAGCUCUCAGGGGAGUUAAAAGACAAGUGGGUAAUUGUGGGUGCAGCCGGCGGGUCACACAGAGAAAAUGAGGAACAAGUGGUUAAUUGGGCCCACAAGCCCAGGAUCCCGCCUGUAAUUAGCAAAUUGCAGGGCUUUGAUAUUUGCUUUGGUAACAACCUAUGUAGUAAAUUGCAGGGAGGAAAACUGCACCCCCAACCUGGGAGGUGACCCUGUGUCUGUAUUCCCCAAACCAUUGUCUCACAAACACUCGUAGGCAGUACACCCAUGAGUGCAAUCCCAGCAUCGGGGUGAGGGGGCCUUGCACCUUUCUGAAGGCUGACAGCAGCCUGUGACACUUUCUGUGUUCCCCUUUACUCCUAGUUUAAGUUUUGGCCAACUCAGAGGUGAAGUUGAGGCCUCAUUCCCUGGUAUGGGCUCCCGCCAUUCACACACUGUUUCCAACGUUCUCUUGAGCCACACAGGCCCUACUGUAGAGUUCCUUUAGCCAGAGAUAUGACCUAGGAGUGGCUAUGGGGAAUUCCAAUGUGAGUGUCAUAGGAUUGUCUGGGGAGAGACAAGAGAGCCCUGUUGCAGUGUUGUUGAAAUCUGUCCAUGAGGAUGGCCUGUGCUGGUCCCUGAUCAGAGAUUGGCCGUCACAGAUUUCAUAUCUGUGUUUAUCUUUGCAAGCUUCUGAGACGUUCUAACCAGAGUGAAGACCAGAAGUAUAGGAAAAUUGCUUUGGGAUUGUCAUGGUAAAACCUUAGGAAUUGCCACAGAUGCAGAGAGACCGGUGAACACAUGCAUGGAAAGAGUACUAUGCAAAAGUGUCAGGAGACCUGGGUUUGAGUUUGGAUUCUCUACUCACUCUUUGUUGGGUCUUAUCUAGUCACUUAAAUACUUAUACAUCAUCUUUGUCAGUUACUGGUCUGUUUUUUUUUUUUGUUUUUUUUUUUUAAUUUUUUUUUUUCAAUGUUUAUUUAUUUUUGGGACAGAGAGAGACAGAGCAUGAACGGGGGAGGGGCAGAGAGAGAGGGAGACACAGAAUCGGAAACAGGCUCCAGGCUCCGAGCCAUCAGCCCGGAGCCUGACGCGGGGCUCGAACUCACGGACCGCGAGAUCGUGACCUGGCUGAAGUCGGACGCUUAACCGACUGCGCCACCCAGGCGCCCCUACUGGUCUGUUUUUAUUGACUUAUUUUUUCUCUUGGUUAUGGGUGAACAUUUUCUUGCUUCUUUAUAUGUCUAAUAAUUUUUUAUUAUGUGGUAGACAUUGUGUAGCUAUGUUGUUAAGUAUUUGGACUUUGCUAUCUUCUUUUAAAGGUGUCGGACUUUGUUUUGGCAGGCAGUUAAUUUAUUCAGGAAAUAGUUUGAUCCCUUUGAGCCCUGUCUUUAAGCUUUGUUAUGGAGGGUCCAGAGUAACCGUCACUCCAAGAAUAGGUCAGCCACUUUACUCAGGUGUAACUCCUCUAGGCUCUCCAUUGAAUGCCCCAGGUGUUGCCACAGACUCUCCACUUUGGUCGGUACACAACCAUUUCCACACCUUGAGAGAGCUUUGGGUUGUUCAGCUUACCACCAUUUUCUGGUCAUUUCUUUUGCCUGGUCUUCUUGAAUUUCACUUUAUACACCCAUGACCUAAUAUGCAGCAGACUCAAGAGGAUAUCUCUGCAGAUUUAUGAUGUUCUUUUCUGUGUAUCUCUUCUCCUUUCUGGAAUUGAUAUCCUCGACUCCUAGCCACCUCAGUCUUCUCCAGUCUCUGGACUCUGUCUCCCCUGCUUAGCAAGGCUGCUAGACUACGCUUGUGAUUUCCAGAUGGAAAUUGCCUCCCAGCAUAAAUCCAGAGUUACUUUAAGGCUCAGCUCAUUGAUCUUUUCUUUUGAGAAUUACAGUUUUACACUGCUUAUUUUCCAGUGUCUUAAAGUGGUUGUAAUUCUAUCAAGACUAGAAGUUGAAGUCUUCUCAAGUUAAUAAAACUGCAGUUUCCCCGAAGUGUAGAAAAAGAACAUGCUGAUAUUUGCUUCGAAAGUUAGUUAUGAUAAUUAAAAUAUGUAAGAGAUCGGAAAGCAUAUAUAAUAAUGCAUAAAAUAAGCAAUGAAGCAUAAAAUAAGAACACUUAACCAAUACUAGUUUCACCUUCUUUUUUCUUUGACAUCAAUAGUAUAAAUGGAUUUAGCAUUUUCAUGAAAUUGUAGAAUUCUAGAGCUGCAAGGGAUUUGCUGCAGAGAAGAUGAGUUGGUCCAAAUGCCCCAUUUUACAGAUGAACAGAUAGCGGUUUAGUGAGGAGAAGUGAUUUUCCCAAGACCUUAUGACCCAUUAGUAGAAGAAAGACUGGAACUCAGGUGUCCUAGGUUCUAGUCCAUGGGGCAUCCAUUCAUUCAGAUCAUUUAUUGAAUAUUUACUAAGUUCAGAGCACUGAACUAACUGCUUUAUUGCCUCUAUAUAAUGUCCUGGUUUGCAGAAAUGUUUAAAAAUUGAUUUGGGACCUUUAUAGUAGAUUCAGUAAAUCAGCGUAUGAUUGUGGGCUUCUCAAGAGUGGAUGGAUCUGGAUGGCAUUAACUGGAGCAGCCUCCAUUGUCUAAUGCAAAAUGCUUUGGACAUUCUAAAUGCUUCCAGCAUGUAGCUCCCUUGAGAUAGUCCGUUGUAGUGCUUCAGACAUAUGAACAUGUUAGGUAAUUACUGUAGCUUUAUGGCUCCAUCAACCAUGGUUAUAGGGCAACUAAGGAUUUGCUCUUCAUUCAGCCAUUCUAGAGACUCAAUGCAGAAAUGGAUGAGAAAACUUUACAGAAAGUGAUCAGGAUGUUGCCAGAUGUGAAAAAAAAGCACCAUAUAUGGUGUCAGGAGGCCUGCAUCCUAGACCUAGACUUGUUACUUCUCUUUUCUGGGCCCCGAUUUUCCUAUCUAUAAGUGAAGUGCAAUAAACUGGGUGGUCUACAAUGUGCAUUCUAGCUUGGAGAGUCUUUAUAUCUGGAGCUCUAUGCCGUGCUGUCCCUAGUCAUACACAUGAUGUGGCUUAGGGGUAGUGGUGGGCAGGAGCUGAGUGUGGACGAUGUGGAAAGGCAUUCUAAACCAAAGGGGGAACGAGAAUCGAGGUGAUGAAAUAGGGGUAUGGCUAAAAUGGAAUUUGUGAUCUGGUCCACAGCUGGGAUGUAGAGAGGAAUUUGAGGACCCAUGAGCAAGCGCCCUGGGACCCCUGUUUGAGAAACUCUGCAUUAAAAGUUGAAAAGUGUCACUUGGUUUGUCCAUCCAACGUCAGAGAUUGCCAACACAAGUGUAAAUAAUGCAGAGAUUAAAAAAGAGAGGUAGGAUUGAUCAGAAGGUGGAUAUUCUCGCUGCCUUUCCUUAAGAUCACCUCUUGGGGCCCCUGGGUGGCUCAGUCGGUUGAGUGUCCGACUUAGGCUCAGGUCAUGAUCUCACAGUUCGUGAGUUUGAGCCCCGCGUCGGGCUCUGUGCUGACAGCUCAGGGCCUGGAGCCUGUUCAGAUUCUGUGUCUCCCUCUCUCUCUGCCCCAUCCCCAUUCAUGCUCUCUCUCUGUCUUAAAAAUAAAUAAAACAUUUAAAAAAAUUAAAUAAAAAAGAUCACCUCUGACACAAAAAUAGAAAAUUUCAAAAUAUUACAUAGAACUCCUCUCUUCUCCGAGAGGAGAAGAGUUUUGUAGCCUCUGGUUUGCAAACCAGUGGUGAAAGGGCAGAGUGGUAGGUAAUAUAGGACAUGCUGAUUAGGAGGAGAUUCUAGCCACUUUGAAUACCUGGCUUCAGGAUUGGAAAUUAUUCUGUAAGUUGUGAGAGUGAUUGAAACUUCACGGGCAAAAGACUUAUCUGUUCAGCUCUGUGUUUCAGCUCUCUCUGGUUAUGGCAUGGAGGAGGGACUGGAGGGCGUUGAGAUGGGACUGGCCAGGACACUGGCACAAUAGCCCAGGUGACAAAGGAUGAAGGACAAAACAAGGAAGACCCUGACACAGGGCGAGUGAUGGAAGGACUCUGAGAAUGAAGAAUAGUUGGGACCUGUCUGCUGACGGACCGGAGGUAAGGGAGGAACCUGCAUUGCUUCUGUGUGUUCAUGCCACAUAAGGGAGAGCAUGGGGAUUGCAGAGCCCCCCCUGCACCCCCAAGCCUGAGCAGUGGUUCAAAGUCGUCAAAUCUCAGUGUUCGUGAAACUCAUUCGGAAUUUCUUCUAUGGCAAUAGAAGGAUGAGUGCACCUGUUCCCUGGAGCUUUUGUAGGGACUGGUGGAUUGGUAUAUAUGAAAGCACCUAGGAUGUGUUAGCACGGGGUUUCCAGGUAAUGUUAAUUUCAUCCAUCCAGCUAUUUAUUCAAAUCCAUGCAAAUUUGGAAGGAAAUAAUUAGUCCCUUCAGGACCGUGUCAAACAUUUCAAAUUCAUUUCGGGUGAAGAGAUGACGGCUGAGGUGUCUCUGUGGGGUCAGCCCACUCCUGGUCACUGGGCUGGGCCACAGUUCAAGGCCCGAAACUUGUUUCUGGCAGCAUCAGGUCCCUUUCUUUCCCUUCCUUUCAUUACCACCCUCCCUCCCCCCACCCCAGGCAGUCUACUUCUAGGUCUCUAAUGUAGAAAAUGACAGAAAGAAAGUCAAAAAGAAAGAAAGGCAGGAAGACAGGCAGGAAGGAAGGAAAGGAGGAAGCAAAGAAAGGAAGAAGGAAAACGAGCAUUAAAUUGAUGAGUUUAUUUUCUGUUGGCGUCUUCUGAGGACACACCCCUGCCAGGCAUGGAUCCACAGAUGUGUAAGAGAUCGUGCCAAUUCUCUUCUCCAGGACUGGACAGGAGCACCGGGAUCGAAGCCCACAGGGUGGCCUUGCCUGGGGGGAGGCAUCUGGCCCUGCUGACGGGGCCCCAUGGAGCCUCACCUCAGCUACAGAUCCUUCGUGUGUGAGCAACACCAGGCCCUCUUCCUCGGUCUCCUGCUUGAUUUGCACCUCGCUCAAAUCAGCCAAAUCCUCUCCACUGGCCUGUCUUUUUCUCAGCUCCAGAGGACCAGUGUCCUGGAGCAGGUGAGACCCCUCACUCAGCUCUUUAGUCAUGACUGCAGCACCAGGGGCAGAGCUGUUUGCUGGCUGGGUAAAGCAGAAGGAGGGAGCACUGUCAGGAGAGCAGGGAUUUUGGCAGGAGCACGAUGAGGAGAGUAGGGAGCACCAUCAGGAGAGCUGAGAUUUCAGCCAUGCCAGUUCUCCCCUUUCCCAGUCUCCUCUCUGUCUGUGACCCAGGUCACAUAUCCUCUGGCAAAGUGACUGCAGCUACACUCUCGGAGUCAGAGAAAGCCUGCAGGCUCUGACUUCCUUUCUUUGCUUCCAACCCAAACUGGACGUUGCACUUUUACACAUCGACCGUUGAGCGGGCUGGGUCUAAGUCCUUUCCCCUCAAUCUGCUGUGGCUGCUUUGACAAGGAGGAUGGCAGAAGUGACCCCUAGAUUCCCAAACUGGGUCAUAAAAAAGCCAUGUAGCUUCCGCCGUAUGCGCUGGAGACUUCGCUCUCUGAUCCACAGUCCCCGCUGAGCCCAGCCUUCUGACCCACCCACGAGCCUGCCAUGCGAGUCAACCUAACUCACACCCUUUAGAGCAGCCCGCCUGCCGGCUGAAUGCCUCCGCGUAGCUGCGGCUGGUGCCAUGUGGAGCAGAGCGGCUUGGCCAAGCCCCGCCUGAAUUCCCGACCCAUAAAAAUCAUGACUCAUGAGAUCUCAUGAAAUGGUAGUUUUAAUCUACUGAAUUUUAGAAUGGUUUGAUAUACAGCAAUAGACAACCAGAAUCCUGGACGUCGAUGGCAGAAACCUUGCUGAUGGCUGUUGACAAAUUUAGGCCGAUUUCAUGUGAUUUACCUCAUCCGUCUGCUCCUGACCAUGAGAAUUCCCUUUUGCUUAAAACGUGGAUCGAGUUACCUCUUCGCGGAGCCAAAACCUCACCUGGGUUCGUGGACGGCUCCGAGGCACAGCAGAACUUGCAAGCUUCCGGGGUCUGGUUUGGUUGUCAGUAAGCGCCCGCAUCCAGCCACACACCCCCGCUUAUGCCAACAAAUGGCUGCAUAUGCUCCCUUCAUCCUAAUGAUGUGCAAAACUUGUCACAAAUUGCAAGUGUGGCUGCAAAAGCCAUUUUUUUGUGGAUCUACAUAAGCGAUGUGGAGACAACAUUCGACUAGCAUCUCUACAUUCAGAAAGGGUAUCUUCCUAUUUGUUGGUCUGCACCUACCUUCACGUGUGGAGUAUGGGAUUUUCACACGGCUGGUCACUGUCAUUUCUGUCCUUAGUUCACAAGGAGAGCCGGAAGAGGGACAUUUUAAAAUGAAUAAGAAGCUGGUGAGAACUGAGGGGGACCAAAUCAUCGGCCCAUUUGUCAGCCUUGAUUUGGAGAAAGUUCCCCGUUUCCUGAGUGGGGUGAGUGUAGGGGUAGGGGUGUGCCAUGUCCCCGUGAUCAAGUGGCGUGCUUGUGUUGUUCUUCUCCCAGGAUCCGGAUGGGACUGGAGUGAACUUGCAGUCAGAAGUGUGUGGGCUCAGGCCUGGGAUAUAUCAUACGCUCGCUUGCUAUGUGACCUUAGAUGAGUUAUUUAAUCUCUUUGUGUCUUAGUUUUCGCAUUAGUCAAAAGGAUACAGUUUUAGGGGCGCCUGGGUGGGGGUGGCUCAUUGGGUUAAGCAUCUGACUCUUCAUUUCAGCUCAGGUCAUGAUCUCACGGUUGUGGGAUCCAUGGAGCCCUGUGCUGGCUCUGUGCUGAGCGUGAAGCCUGCUUCAGACUCACUCUUUCUCUCCCUCCCCCCACCGCCCGCCCCUCCUUUGCCAGCACACUCUCUCUCUCUCUUAAAAAAAAAAAAAAUUAAAAAGGAUACAAUUUUAACCAAUUUCACAGGAAAUAAGAGGCUCUUAGUUUGGGUUUUGCCAGAAGCAGACCCUGGGACAACAAACGGCCUAUUGGGGAGGAGGAGGGAGCACAGGUGGAGGUAUGGACAGGGCCACAGAGGAAGGAAGGCAACCAGUAAAGCGCCUGUCAUUCAGCCAGCUAUCACUGUGGGCACCUGCAGCUUAAUCCCCCAGAGACACUGCUGGAAGAGGCCUGGGGAAAUCGAGAUGGUUGGUCACCCUCACUCAUCUGCCAAAGUAUUAAAUACGGAUGUUGUUUGUAACCAGAAAACGAGAAGGAAGAGCUCCAUAGAUCUUCAAGGUGCUGAGGAGAAAGUUUCUAGAUGUGUCUCCAAAGUCAAGUUUCUUGGAAACUUGCAGAGAAAGUUGUAGUGGAGGGAAAUUUGAGCCAGGAGACCCAGAGUCCCAUUUAUGAACUCUACACGGUGUGGCUUUGGAAAUUACUGGAACCUCUCUGAGCCUCAGUUUACUUACCUGAGAAAUGAUAGCCCGUCCUGUCUUGCUCACAGGGCCUGAGGCUGGAAUCAGGCGACAUAAUGGAAUUGGAACAUUUAUGUAUUUGUGGACACUCAGCACAUCCCUGCAGGGUGCCUCAGAGCCACAGUCACCAUAGAAUACUGUACGUUUAGGUCAUCUUGAUGAGUAAGUGGGAGGUCAGCCCCGUGGGAAUACCCAACAUCUCUUCACACGACUGUAGUACCUUGUAGGAGAGUCAUGGGAUCCUGUUAACUGAUAGACAAGGCACGACUGCCCUGGAACCUGAGAACACAUCCAUCCUUUCAGAAGGUCUCCAAGGCACAAGAUUUGUCCCCAGAAACCCAGAGGAAACGAUAUCCUGAUGAAAAGGAAAUAUCCAAGUCAUCGUAACUCUUAUAGCCCAAGACUCUGUAAUGACCUGCUUGCUUCCUUCCACAGCCUCUCUCCUACCUUGCUCCUGUGGCCUGGGUCUGUUGCCUAGAAACCUGGCUUCUGAUGUCACCUGCAGCCUCCCUCCUUCCCCCUCCAUUCAGGGCACGGUGGCCUUUUUUUUAUUACUUUAGUGUCAUACAUCAGCUGUGCUUGCUGGUGCUGACCUCUGCUGUGGUCUCAACUCAAUGUCAAGACUUGGCCCUGGACCUGGUAUCUCCCACCUGCCUUUUCCAGAAUCAGGUCUAUAGAUGUGAAUGAAGCCUUGGAAGUUGGGGCGUCAUGACUGGGGCUACAGUAGAUUUCUUUCUUUUUUAAAAAAAUUUUUUAAUGUUUAUUUAUUAUUGAAAGAGAGAGAGAGCACGAGCAGGGGAGGGGCAGAGAGAGAGAGGGAGACACAGAAUCUGAAGCAGGCUCCAGGCUCUGAGCUGUCAGCACAGAGCCCGAUGCGGGGCUCGAACUCACAAACUGUGAGAUCAUGACCUGAGCCAAAGUCGGACGCCUAACCGACUGAGCCACCCAGGUGCCCCGGGCUUUAAUAGAUUUCUGUGUGCCAAGCCUCCUCUUUUGGGGGGCUCCAGGGAUUGGCUGCUAAAGGACAUAGAGAGAAGGUUUGCAUGACUCUUCUGUAGCACAUUAUGGGGCUUCUAGAUUAAUGGCUUUCAAACUUCAGCAUGCUGAAGAACUUAGGGCACAUAUUAAAAUCAUGUGGUUUCUGGGUCCAGUCCCCCAGAGUUUCUGAUUCAAUACACUGUAAGAAUCUGGUUUUUUAAAUGUUUAUUUAUUGAGAGAGAGAGGGAGGAAGGGAGGGAGGGAGGGAGGGAGAAUGAGUGGGAUAGGGGCAGAGAGAGGAGUGAAUCCCAAGCAGGCUCUGAGCUGUCAGCACAGAGCCCCACGCGGGGCUCGAAUUCAUGAACCCCACAAGAUCAUGACCUGAGCUGAAAUCGAGAGUUGGAUGUUCAGCUGACUGAGCCACCUAGGUGCCCCCAAAGCAUAAUAUUUUAUUUAUACUCAAUAAAUUAUAUGCAUGUGUUGAACAGAGUACUCACAAGGAUUGUAAUACCAGAUUCUUCAAAUAUAUGUCUCUUUAUUCCCUCAUAGAUAUCAGUAAAGCAACUGAGGAAAAAAUAACAAUGGAAAAGGAGGAAAAAUAUGAACGUUGCCUUCCUUUAAUUCUAGGGUCCUUAAUCUGCAUUUCUUAAGGAGGUUCUGAAUAUGUUCAAUUCAUUACCAAAUUUUCUUUUAUUAUUUAAUGCAACAUAUUGUACCCAUUUUGUAGAAGGACAGUUUGGCCAAAUUCCUUGGCUUAAAAGAGCCCCAUAACCGUGCAUUAUUCUACCAUUUCAAAGCAUUUGUACAUGUCUCCUUACUUGACCUUCCCAGGAAACUGUGUUGUAGGUAGUAACAUUAUCUCUAUGUCACUGGGGAGGGGAUCCAGGCUUGCAGGGGUCAUGGGAGCCGCUCCAGGUCACAGAGUGAAUAAGUGAUGACAUCAGGGCCCUACGGGCUGCUCCGGCUCCUGAUCUCACCCUCUUCUCAAUACCUCCAGCUGCCUCUCAAAGAGACAGCGGCACAACGGAGACCGGAACCAAGGGACCCUGAUUGCUGGGGAAGCAAAUGGUUUUUCCAGACCCGUGGACACCUCUGCUCCCAAGAUUUAAGAUCCGUCGUGACAGGUUGCUAGAUCCGCCCAUCACAUCACCUUCCAAGCAGGGAAAAAUGAAAAGGGGCCAACUCCUGAUGGUUCCUUUAGGACUUUCUGGAUGAAACAAGGACAGAUGGCGACUUAAUUUAAAAGAAAUGGAGGGAAAAAUAGGAGAUAAAAGUGACAAAUGGACAUAGAUGUGUUUCCAUAGACGUGGUCGCCUGGCUGCAUACCUGCCUUCUGUUUAGCUCUGUCUGUGUCUGGCACCUUUGUCUCACCCCCUCCGGGGCACCCAGGGAGGUGAGGCAGUGAGCACGGACAGCUGGUGGAAUUUAUGGGACCUGUGUGGCCCCUCUUCCCACCCUCGUGGUAGGAAGGGGAAGCAUGAUCCAUUUCCUCCUGGGUAAACAUUUUCACAGGAAGCAUUUAUCAAAUGUCAGCAGGGGCAGUGGAGGGGUCUGGGAUCCGUCAGACAGGAUCCGCUUCGCUCCUGCUCUCCCAGGCAAAGGCUGUGGGUUUUCUGCUGCACAUUCCUGGCCUCUCUGUCUCAUGUCCCAUCUUCUCUCAACCGGCCGAGCCAAGGGAGACGAGGACAGACCCCAGAACACCCAAGUCCACUCCAUCCUUUUUAAUAAACAGGGCUUCUGUCAGGCUGGGCACGUGUAAACAUAGCUGAGUGCCCAGAUCCUUCCAGAAGAAAGGCUGAUGAGGAAAUGUCUGGAACAACAAGUAAAGCUCCAUUACUCCUUGUGUGUAGGACUCUGCUGGUCUUGGAGUCUGAAACCAUCCCCCCUCCUCUGGGGGGGACCCAUGACUCGUGUACUUGACUCUUUUCAGGCUGGGGAAGGCUGGCCAGGCAGGACCGAUGCCGGGGGUGGCACUCUCCUGGAUUCUCGGGCUGCACCCCCCUCCUGCCAAUGCAGAGCAGAGCACCUUCCCUCAGCACGCCUGCUUUUCCCUCACAGUGCCCACAGCCUGGCAUCUUUUCUUUGAGGCCAGACGGACCUGAAUCUCCUCUCUGCUGCCUGUCAAGUGUGUGACCUUAGGCAAGUCACUUCACCUCCCCGUGUCCAGUUUCCUCAGCUGUCAUGUCUUUUCAUACAUCUCCUGGGCACCAUCUCCGUCCUAGGCCCUGUGCAAGUGCUGGAUGGAUUUGCCGUGAGGACUGAAGGAGACGAUUCGGUAAAACACGUAGUAAGUUGUCGGGGAAUAAGUAUUCCCAAUUGUUGGUGAAUAUGGUUAUUCUCACUGCCAUCUCUUCUGUUUGUCCCUGGAGAAGAGUCGAAUCCAAAAGGCUGUUUCAGCCUUCCAUCCCUCUGACCCUCUCACGCUGCCACAUAGGCCCUCUUGCCCCUUCAGUGGGUCCAGGCUGCUGCCUUCCCAGACUUCUGCGUGGAGCCACAGUCCCCCUGUAGGUCCAUCAUUCAACAAAGUUGCAGCGGCUGGUGGGGGGUGGUUUCUGGGGGUGGCGGGCAGGCUGUAUAACCGACUGCAGCUAAAUCAAAGAUAGAAAGAAGUGAGACUCUGGAAGACUCAGAGUAGCGUUCCUUCAGGGGAAGAAGAGUGUAUUUCCAGCUUGGGGUCUGAAGAAAGCCUUGGAGAAGCUUCAUGGAGGAGGUGGUGCUCGGGCUAUGCUAUGAAGAAGGGGGAGGAUUUGGUGGUCCUGUGCAAAUAGCAAGAAGGGCCACGCGUGAGCUGUGAGGCCUGUUGAAACACAAAGGAAACCACUUUAGGCCAGAAGUGUGCAGCCCUUGGUUUCUGGGCUGUCAAAUUAAUUGUGCAGACGUUUCAAGACUUCGAUCAUACUGUCAAUGACACUUGGACCAUUUUCUCACGUGCCAUAUGUUGUUUAAAUUUCACGAAAAUAGGGUGAAUCAGACAGAGCAAGAGUGAUUAUACCUGCUUUCCGGAUGAGGAAAUUGUGACCCAGGGAGGUCAAGGGAUUUGACUGAGUCCACGAAGGUGGCCAGUGGGAAUGUGGCUCCUUGGUUCCAAGUCCAGAGCACUUUCUGUGGCAUAAUGCUGCUCCCCCUCUCUUCCCCAGCCCCACACCCUCAGGCUGGUAAAACUGGUCCUUGGAGCUCAAUGAGCUUUGAGCUCAACCCUCAGCCUUGGCUGAUGCUGCAUGAACUUGCCAGGACUCUGCAGUAGCAUCAUUGGAGAUCCCUUGCUCCUAUCAAAUGGCUUCUAAGCCAUCUUUCAUAAGCAUAUCUUACUCAGAGGAACCUUUCUAGAGCCUAGGACUGAUCGUGUUGUACCCUUGCUUACAGACCUUCAGUAUCUAGCCUGCCUCUUUAGGCCCGGCCCAAACUCCUUUACCUGUUCUUCUCUGUCCUUCUGGACCCAUCCUGCCCUUUGGGCCUCCCCAGUCUUCUUCCUUGCCAACUUCCCUUGGGCCUCCUGUGCCUGAGACACCGACUUUCUUGCAGUUCCCCAAAUGUCCCAAACUCUCCCCUCACUGUUCUGUGCCUACAUUGGCCCUGCAGCUCAGACCCACCACUUAAGUAGCUGUGAAUUGAGAGCAAGCUCCUAACUUCACUGGGCCUCAGCUUCAUCGUCUGUAAAAUGGGGAUGAUAAUAGGACCCAUCUUGUGAGGUUGCUGUGUAGACUCAUUGGCCUAAAACAUGUAAUGAUGAGCCCAAGUUCUGGGACACAGUAGGUGCUUAGUCAAUGUUGUCACUGUUCGCAGUGCAGGAACGACUCUCCCUGACUGGAAAUUUCCCUGGCAUGUUCUCUCAGUUCCCUUCUCCUGUGGCCCUUCUGGAAAGCCUACCCUCAUUGCCUGAGGCGAGUGCCUCUUGCCCUCUCUCCUGUGCUCCUCACACUGUAAUGAUCUGCCUCAGUAGGCCUCCUCACCGAGCUGCUUGAGGGCAAGGUUUUGCCAUUUUCUAGAGCCAGGGCCAUGUCUGGGUCACUGUGGUGCCUACCAUGCCCAGCACCAUGCCCUGUCAUGGUCUUAGUAUGAGUCUGUGGAAGGAGUUAAUGGCACGCAGACCUGGCUUGUAGGGGGCACAGUCAUGGAAGUGUUGUGUGAGUGACCUCCGGUACCUCUCUAUGUCUUUGUUUCCUGAGAAAUAGAAUGGAUGACUGGCCUCCCUGGUCUUAGGGAGUCCCAAAGAUCGCAGUACCGACGACCACACAGGCACAACUCGGGGAGGCGUGACAAGAUUUGGAAAGGAAACCCUUAGUUAAUGUCCUAUCACAAAAUGUCAGCAUUUGAACCAGAGUGGACAUACAGGGACCUUAGAGAGCUCCCUGACAGGGCCUUCAUGUGCCCCAGCUCCUUCCAUUUGGUAUUCUUUUUCUUAAAGAUGCCUCCCCCCACUCCCCCACCCCAAAUUGCACAAGCUUCAAGGACUCCCAAAUCCCAGUGGCUCCUAGCCUUAAUCCUCCCCCAGUAAGCUUCCUUGUCUUGUCUGCCUCUGGGACUCUGAGUCAGAAAGGACGACCCUGUCACACUGCCCCCUCCUGGCUUCCCCACCAUCACCUGUGCCUGGAGGGCAGCUGUAGGGGGUCACCCAGAUCCAUACAGAACACCUCCCAUCACCCUCACCCACUCUUCCUCUCCAGGGGUUUGUCAGGUCCUUUGAGCCACCCUGUUGGUGUGGCUCUGAACCCUGCCACAUCCCUCCCCACGCAUCUCCCUACCACACUCCGCUUUGGGCCAGCCUCCUCGCGUGAAGGCCUGCUUGGACUUUGGGCGUUCAAGCCUCUCCCUUCCAAGGGCAUGGCCUCCAGCUCCAUAAACCACAGCUACAGUAAACAGCUUCUGCCCCGAACUUGCACUGUAGGCCUGUGGGUCAGAAAGGCCAGCCGGUCCUUUGACCAGUUUCCAUGUGUGAGAAGAGGGGUGACAUUCAACACAUUCAAACCAUUUCCUUAGGGAGGAAAUGCCAUUUACAUAAAUAGGCUAUUUGAAGGCUACCUAUGCACACCCUGCUGGGCCCAGUUCUCAUUCCUGGUUGCCUUUCUCAAUCAGUCAGGGAGCUGAUGCCUGGGGCCUACUCCAGGGAUUUUUUUUUUUAAUUUUAAUUUUUUUUAACGUUUUAUUUAUUUCUGAGAGUAAGAGAGAGACAGAGCGUGAGCAAGGGAGGGGCAGACAGAGACAGAGACAGAAUCUGAAGCAGGCUUCCGGCUCUGAGCUCUGAGCUGUCAGCACAGAGCCCGACGCGGGGCUUGAACUCAUGAACCGUGAGAUCAUGACCUGAGCCGAACUCGGAUGCUCAACCGACUGAGCCACCCCGGUGUCCCGAGAGAGAUUCGGUUUCAGUUGGUGUGGGAGGUAGCCUUGGUGUAAGGACAUUUUACAGCUCCCCAGAUGAAUCUAAUGUGUGGUCAAAACCUAGGACCCCGGCUUCAGGGAACGCAUUCUGUGGAAGGCGAAGGCAGAGGAAAAGGAAGAGUGAGGGUUGGAGCAAAAUGAGUUUUAGUGUGAGUAACAUAACAAGCUUGAUGACUCUGCCUCCCAGAUUUGACCUGAGGAGAUACAACCCUGCCUUCCCCUCCUCCAGCCCCCCAAAGGGGAGGUGAGCCCAAAACUCUGGGUGGGUGGGUGAGGGUCUCUCUGGCUCAGCCCAACCCCCACCCUCUAGGAGGAGAAGAGUUUUAGUUUUAGGGCAGAAGCUCCCCUAACUUCUAGGGGAGCAGGGCAAGCCCUAGCCCUGAAUCAGAGGUCAAGGACUUGCAGGGCGCUCGAAUCGGGUUCGGUGUUCGCAUUUCCAGCUGCACCCCCUCAGCCACCAUACACCCGCCCCCUCCUCCUGUCUCCUCUGCUCCAGGGAUCGUACCAUCAUUGUCUUGGUUGUUUAGACUCCAAAAUCUACUCGCCCUGGUCUCUGCUUCUAUUUUCUCCACAUUCAGUUGGUCACCCCGUUCAGUGCACUCAUCCAUGGAUCAUUCCCUAAACUGCCCUUUCCUCCCCAGUCCCACUGCCCAAGGACUCCUCACAAUCUUAUGCUACUUUUGCUGGAAGCCCCUGCAUUAGCUCUGGGCCUUGCCCUAGCACAGUGGUUCUUAAGGUGUCUCCCAGGGACCAGCAGCAGCAGCAGCAGCAGCUCUUGGGAACUUGCUAGAAAAGUGAGGUCUCUGGUCCCAGCCCUGCUCAUACUGUUCCCUCCCUUGGAAAGCAUUUGUACCACUUGUAAGUAUCUACAUCUAUUUCUCCUUCGAGAGCCCUCGUUUAUGUUAACAGAUUGCAAGAUUUGUCCUAGAGGAACAUUUUGCCUUCCUUGACCUCUGUAGCAUUACUUUCUUCCCUUCUCUCUCUCCCUCCUCUUUUCUUUUUCUUUUUCUGAGUUUUGCCUUUAACGCAGGACUUCUCUUAAUCAUGACUACAUAUUCAAAUCCAUUCAAGGAACCUCAAAAAAUAUGUAUACGCAGGCCAUACUCCAGAGCAAUUAAAGCAGAACUUCAGGAGGAGACCUAUUAUCAUCUAUUUUUAAAGUUCCCCAGAUAAUUUUAAUGUGUACCUGAAAUUAAGUUCCUUUCUCAUAAAGCAACCGGAGGGAAAACGAUGCUGGGAAGACAUAUGAAUUUAAAGUUAAGAGCCCCAGGUUGACUCAGGUCAGGGCUCUGUCCCAACUGGCCAUUUAACUUCGGGCGAGUCACUUCCCCUUUCUUGACUUGUGUUUCCCAAGCUACCAGAUGAGGCACUGUUUUAGAUCAGUGGCUCUCAAAGUUAGCCGAUGUCUGGUUCCCACCCCUAGAGAUUCCCCUUUAAUCAUCUGGACCCUAAUGUGCAGCCAGCGUUGAGAUCCACUCUCAUAGACUUUACCCAAGGACCCAUAGCAACUGUGUCCAGUGGUUUACUUUGGGGAGAAAAGAUGUCUGCCCUUUCAAAAACUUGGACUUCUUUGCCCUGCCUCCUAUUCACCUUUCCUCCCCCUAAGGAUGAACUCCCUUGCCUGGCUUCAGUGAUGAAGGGCAGGGGAAAUUUCCUUAUCUGAUAGUAGGAGAGCCAGAGGUAUUCUGAACCCACCACAGGCAUCCUUAUUGGGGGUGUGGCUGUCUCAGCAGGAGGUGGAUUAAGGACCCUAUGAAAAUCCUCACCAGAGGCCUCGCAGAGGGUCACUGAAGGGGUCCAUUAUUCAGCAACCCGGAGGCCCGACCUCAUGCUCCUCAGCUCCAAAAAACUUGUCAUACCAGCCACAGAUGGGGAGACAGGUUUUCCUUCACGCUCAGGUCAGGGUUUUAUUUAAAGGCAGGUGUAAGAAGAGAACUCCUAAGUAGCAGAAGACAGGCUGCACGACAGCAGUAGAGAGGCAGGCAGAAUGACCCAGCAGUGAGAGGGUUGGGGUGGGGGCAGAGGAAACAGCCUGGUUAGGUAAGGGGUGGGGGCUGGAAGGGAAGCCAAUGCUACAUAAGCGCCUUUCUGAGGAAGGUGUUACUGAUCCCUAGAGACACCCAGCAGCCAUCUACAAUGGGCCCCUCUGUUUAUCUGCACAUCAGGCUGUUCCUUUAGAAAGGGAACCAGACCAAGAGCAGGGUAGCCCAGAGGGGAGACCCUCCACCCCAGGGCCAGCAGAGUGGAGAAGAUUAAGAUAGAGAGAUAGUCCCUGAAAUCUUCUCCCCGUCCCCCGCCCCCCACGUGCAACGAACCCUUUUCUUAGUCUCUGCUAUGUUCUUCUUCCACACCUUUCUCUGAAACGAUGGAUUCCCUCUCCUGGAGACAGGCUGCUGCUGGAGGAGGGAGGGGCGGUGUUUUGCAGUGACAGACAUUGCCGGCUUAGGGAGGCCCGGGUUGUUUUGCAGAUGAGAAAACAGUGGUGGGGGUGCGGUGUCUGGCCCAGGCCAGACCAGGGAGCCAGGACAGAGGUCAGGCUGUCUGUCUGGAGCUUGGAGCACCAGACCAUGCUUCCUGAUGACUUUACAGUCUAAGCCAUUGAGAAGAAAAUACGCAUGGAAAGGAGCUUUGUUUUGACUUCUAGACACUGGCAGGGAUGACUUUCCCUGUAGAGGGGAUGAGGAAGUCACAGGGUAGAGGCUGUAACAUGUCUGCACCCCACCGCCUUCCCCGUGAAGCAUCUGGUAAAGGCUGGAGUGUGUGUGUGGGGGGGGUGUGUAGUUCUCCAAGGUUAAGACUCCCUGGGGUUGUUCCAGGCAGAUUGGAAAUUUGGGCGCUUGAAUGUUGGUCAGGUAAAGAUUUCUGGUCCCAAGGAGGAAGAGAAGUCAUAAAAGUCACCCAUGCGAGGCUCAUAUCGUGGCUUUAGAGGCAUUGGAUUCCCUUUGCGAAGCCAUUGUUUGGUUGCCUUUGAGGUAAAUGGAUCAUAAGGUCCUUAUCUCCUUUUCAAGGCAUGGCUGGGGUGGGGAUGGGAGGGGAGGGAUUUCUGGGUGCUGCAUUUGAGGUUCGGUGUGCCCCCCAUACUGCAUGCAAAUGGGAAAAGACAUGGAGGUAUUUUUGGACCCUUAAAUUGUAAAGUAGGCAGAGAAUCCCACAGUUGGAAAGGAACUUAGGUCAAUUUAGUAUCCAUCCACCUCAGAUGGCCAGACCUACUGGUUUCCCAGAUGAGGAGACUGAGACUGUGGGAUGUGUGGUGACAGGUUCUCCAGGGAGCUGUUGGCAGAGUCAGGCUCAGAGCAAACUCUAUAAGCUCAGCCCCAAGCACUCUCCUUGGUUUUGUGGAUGCUUUCUGCCUCAGGACUCCCCUCAGUACCCUUUGUCCUGCUCUUAAUAUCCCUGCACUCUGGGAGGGCCAUCCCUCCCAGCUCUGUGAUUUUUGGCAAAUAUCUUGACCACGUUGUCACUCAGUCCAACCCAGGUGGGAAGCCAGGCAUGACCCAGACUCCUGGAAAACCAGCUGUGGCACCCAGUUGACCCUUCUCUGCCAAAUCCACCACUGCUUUGGAAGAAGAACUAGUUGGGGAGAAAGGCUGAGGAGUGUUUACUUGGCUUAGCAACACCUGGAAAAAGGCUUGGCCAAUGCAAACCACCCCCUCCCCCAAACCUAGAAAGAAUGUAAAGAGGACAUGUUCUAAAUGAUGAGCCUUGACAAGAUCUUCAUAGCUUCCUUCCCAUUCUAAUCUAUAGGAUUUCUUUCGGAAAAAACAAACAGGAGGAAAAAGUUGAAAUGAGGCCACAUGGUGGCUGCCCCAAAGAGAGAACAGGCCAAGACAACUACCAACUGCAUCAUUUAUGGCUGCCCACGGAAAGUCACUGAGGGACCCACAGAUUAAAAUGCUCUUUUAGAGAAUUUACAAACUGGGAGACCCCUCAGGUCUAUCCCACCCGCAAAAGGGGACAGCCUAGGUUCAGAGAAGGGAGGGAUGUUGUCCAAAGUCAAACAGCAGGGUGAUCACGGUAGGGUCAGGAGAAACCCCAGCUCUUUCCUGCCUGUCUAGAACUCAGCUCUAUCACAUGGGCUGUUUGUACAGGUGAAGACCAAGGCCACAUCUCUGUGUUGCUCAAGCAGCCACUCAUGGCAGCCUGCCAGACAAAAGCAUGGGCCAGACUCCUGGCCUGACACUGGCCUAAUAACAAACUUCUUUGUUUAUUUGAUGGAUCACACUACCUCCUGAGCUCCUGUGGGGAGGUUAGAGGAAGGCGUACUUCCUGAGAUAUGGGUGCAAUUCCAAGACUCUCCAAAAGCCACCUGAAGGGAAGUGAGCAAGGAGAAGAGAACGUUCGUAUGGUCAGCUCUGCCACCCGAGGCUCCCUCUAGCAUUCCAGAGACACCCCCUUUCAACAAUGGAGGUCGGGCACCUGGUGAGUGGGCUCCAACAGGGUGCCCAGGAACUGCCAGGUGCCCCAGGAUGGGAUUCAUGCUGGGGGCGGGGCCUAAAUGUGUAGAGGUGAUGGGGAAACUACGGGAGGGAGGGGGGACAGCAUGGGGCUGAUUCUAGGGAGACAGGCCUCAGCUGUGGAGGAGAAGGGUGCAGGUGCAAGAAGGUAGGCAGGUAGGGAUUCUCCUGGCCCCACCCACCAUCUAACUACUGUUGUCAUCCGUGGAGCUUGGAGGUUAAUACAGGCCUAGUCGAAACUAGUCAGUUGGAGAAAGACAAAUAUCAUAUGACUUCACUCAUAUGAAGAUUUUACGAUACAAAACAGAUGAACAUAAGGGAAGGGAAGCAAAAAUAAUAUAAAAAUAAGGAGGGGGACAAAACAUAAGAGACUCUUAAAUACGGAGAACAAACAGAGGGUUACUGGAAGGGCUGUGGUGGGGGAAUGGGCUAAAUGGGUAAGGGGCACUAAGGAAUCUACUCCUGAAAUCAUUGUUGCACUAGAUGCUAACUAAUUUGGAUGUAAAUUAAAAAAAAAAAUAAAUUAUAUAUAAAAAAAAGAGAAUACAGGGUUAGCAAUCAGACAAAAGGUCCUGACUCAACCUUUCUCUAGCUGCACAUGCAUGGGCAACUUACUCAGCUCAUUUGAGCCUUAGUUUCCUCAUUAUUAGGAUGUGGAUUAGAACACCUACCUCUCAGGUCCUUGUGAGAAUUCAGUACAGCAACAUGUGUCAAAUGUUUACCAGGGUCUGGCAUUCAAUAUACCAUUAUUGUUGUUGUUGUUGUUGUUGUUGUUGUUGUUAUGUUUUUCUUUUAGGGAUUCUUUCCAGACCCCAUGAAGCUGCUUGUUACAGGACAGGAGUCUUUCUUUUGGCAACCAGGAAGAGACACAAUAGAGGGAAAACAAUGUCUGUAGUGCUUUUUCAUGGGCCAUCACCUGUCUGUGUUGCUUUUCACUUCAGCUAGAGUAUGGAGCUGUAAGGUGAGGAGGCCUUAUAGGUGGCCUGUGGCUACAUGAUCUCUUACAAAUGCUUCCAAGGCACGAAGAGAGGCUGCCUCCUUGUUAGGACAUGGGCUGGAGGUGAGGUCCCUCUGUUCCCUGAUCUCGCCCAGCCCACCUUUACCGAAAAGCCCCUCUCAUACAUUUUGUUCGGGUUCCUCACAGUUGGUCUCACAGGGUGGGAAGGGGUUCAGACAGUAAAGUCGGGUCUGGCUCAGGCCUCACCUACCACUUGCCUCUGGGAGCUGCCAGGCUGGGCACUCCCCAGGAAGCCCAGCACCUCUGUGGCCUCCCUCUGUCUGAGGGCGUGGGUUUGCUCCUCCCAGAGGUGUCUGUUCACAGAGGCCUGAGGGCCUUCCCUCAGCCUUUGGGCUGCAUUACACCCAAGGGCUCUGUCUGCCACAAGGAUUAGGAAAAUGCUGCACUUUCACGCAGCCCUAAGGAGGGGCCGGGAAUCUUCCACACAUCUGGAGGCGGCUUGGGAACCAGAGCAAGGAUUUGGGCAAGAUUUCCUCAGGUCAAGGUGCAGCUCUCUGCCUCCCUCCCUUCACACAGAUGGUAGCUUCACCUCAAAAUAAACUUUGAGCAAAUAUUUAAAGAAGAAUUAUAGGGGAGAGAGCAAAUUAUUAAUCUUCCUGGGGCAGUCACAAGUCUUGGUAUGAACAUGACUUCAUACGGCUCCUUAAAACAAACUGUCAGAGCUGGCUUGCAGUCAAGGAAAUUUUGCUUUCUUCUUCCUGGUCAUCAGCCAGACUACAUUUCCCAGCCUCCCUUGCAGCCAAGUAUGGUCAUGUGACUGACGUCUAGCCAAUGGAAUGUGAGCAGGAACGAUGAGUGCCACUUAGGUCCUGCCCAUCAAAACACUACAGGAGCCCUCCUGCAUGUUCUUUUCCCCUUUGGGCCAAAUGAGGAUAAUGCUCAGGUCCCCUUGAGUGCCCCGUAUUAUAAUGGUGGCGUCCAUCCAGCCUGGAUUUCUGCAGACUCAAGUGGAGGAGGGUCACUGGAUUGACUCAUUCAUCAGCUCAAAACUGAUACAUGAACAAGAAACAAACUCCUAUUGUGUUUGAACCCUUAUGGAAUUUGAAGUCUAUUUGCUAGAGCAAAUAGGAGUUAUACUAACUCCUAUAGGAACAAACGCUUGAGCUAGAGGGACAUCCAAUAGUCCUUGCAAUCUAUAAACCUAUACAGUCUCUUUUCAUUAUUUGUGGUAAUUAUGUUCUAAAAAGUUGCCGUGAACACUGAAUUAGCAAAUACUGAGCCACUGCUCCUAGGAGAAAUUCAGGGUUAGCUUUCUGUGAGCCACUGGUCACGACAUUUUGAUCAAUACAUAAUCUUGUUUUAUGUGUUUCUGUUUAAAGCUUAUUUAAAUGUAUUAGUUAAAAUAUUUAAAAAUAUUCAAAAUAAAAAAAAUAUUUAAAUAUAAAGAUUAUUUAAAUAUAUUAUUGAUUGAUUAACAAUGAACUCAUGGCCAACAGCACUAUAACUCAUGCCUGAGUGAAACCUCUCCAACAUUUUGCAUAUUGUUUGCUCCACAAGGUACAUCACAGCCUUCUUUCAUGAAGGAACGCUAGACAGCACAUCAGCACUAUCCUUAGGGUUCAUUUUAAACAGUGAAAUUACUGAAGAAGAAAAAAAAGGCACAAAAAUGCAAAAACAAAAAAAAAAAACAAAAAACCAACCCCCCCCCCACAAAAACCCAUACCCUGGCACUAAAAUAGAUUGUGAAAAGGGCACUUUACAGUAGGAGAGCUGAAACAAGAAGGCCCAGCAUGGACUGAAGCUGGAAACGUGUGUCAAGGGACUCAGAUUUUUCAUCCAUCUGCAAGUGUCCACAAAUGACUGCCAGAGCACCACAAGUACUGACUCAGGGGUUAAAAAUAGGUGAAUCCACAAAGGACAAGGAUAUACUAUUCCCAGAUACCAGCAGAGUCUUCUUCUGAUCUGGUAUCUUGAUGAGCAGGUCCUGGCUGGUGGUAGACGACGAGGUCGACAGUGGGAAGUUUCGGGCUGAUGCUGGCAGUGUCUGUGGUGCCGUGUGGAGAGACCAUGUGUGUGGCUCCCAAAGACCCUGUGGGUUGGUACCUGCUGCCCCCACUUGCAACCGCUAGUGCAAGAAUGCCUUUGGGCUGAAGAUGGCACCGGGGUCUGGCCAUCAGGCCCCGCCAUUUAAAAGGGAUGGUGGGAUCUACUCCAAGCAUCUACUUUCUCUCUCUUGGUGGCUGAUUUGAAGACAGGACCAAACCAUGGGGCCAUUUUUGGUUGCAUGGAAACACUGUUUUUCUGACGUUGAGUCUCUGUAUAGGUGGUUCUCUCUGUGUGGAGCUCCACAUUCUUCGUCUUCUCUUUCUUCUUCCCCCUCACACUGGCUGCCUAAUGUGUAUCCCCCCCCAUCAGAUCAUGGUCACUUCUGCCAAGUGUGGAUUCCAAGUUGGGAUUAGGUGGCCCAAGUCUAUGCCUCUCAGAACACUCUACUUCCUCCACAUUAGUAUUCAUUAUGUGAUGUAUUUUUCUCUUUCCUUGACUUGACUGUAAACUCCCUGAGGGUAGGAAACUCAUAUAUUGUAUCCCAAAUCAAACUGCCUUAAAUAAUGAAGAUUCGUAUUGGCUCUUGGAGAUAAACAUUCUAGAGGGUAGGCCUCAACAUUGCUUUAAUUCAGUGGCUCAGGGCCCAGUUCCUUUUGCUUUCUCUUUGUGCCUUCGUCCUAAAAUGGGCUCCUCUUUUGGUUACACAGUGUCUGUUAUGAGCCCCCAGGAUACCUGCUUUCUUGUCCAUCCACAGAGAAAGAAAGGAAGCGCGGACUGUUUCUCCUCGAACCAUCAGACAAAGUCCUGAAGGGUCGAGUGGGUGUUGGGGAGGUCCACCAUACUGCUCAGGAGAGUAAGGACUGGUGGCAAGAAGGCCCCUGGGGACAGCAAGUCCUAGAUGAGUUGGGAUCCUGGACAAAUUAUUAGAGAAGAGCCUCAGACUCACAUGGACAAGAAGGGAACCAUUUCCUUCUUACCGAAGUAGGGGAAUUGGCAACAUGGCAGGUACUACUUUUAGAAUGCAGGCCCAUUAGGACAUAAGAGAGAAUGUAGCGAUCGAUCGAGAGGAAGAUAGCAUUGAGAGUUGGGGAGAGACCAGACCAUGCGGAACCUUGAAGCCCAUUAAAAAAAAAAAAAUUUAAAUUCAAGUUAGUUAACGUAUAGGGUAAUAAUGGUUUCAGGAGCAGAAUUUAGUGAUUCGUCACUCACAUAUAAUACCCGGUGCUCAUCCCAACAAGUGCCCUCUGUUUAGCCCAUCCUUCCACCCACCUCCCCUCCAGCAACCCUCUGUUUGUUCUCCAUAGUUAAGAGUCUCUUAUGGUUUGUCUCCCUCUCUGUUUUUAUCUUAUUUUAAAGUGUGAGAGAUGGAGCAAGGGCAGACCAUGUUUCCCCAGCUUCCCCAGGGAGGAUCACGAGACUCAGAGAGAGAGCCAGGCACACCACAGUGGAGAAGCUUCCCCCUUUGCACUGAGUUACAGGAAUAUUGCUCAUCUACCAGAGACCUUUCUUGGUGACAACUGAAAAUAAAAUAGGGCAGCUGGCCCAAAUGUGUCUCCAGAACGACUGUCCGGACCUUUGCUUCUCUAAGAGAAGCAAUUGUUUAAGACGAUGCCCCUCCAACUGGGGUACACACUCUCAUUUUGUGGUGAUGAUCCAGAGAAAUAUAUUAAUCCAAAGAAUAGACCUGGUACAUCUUCAUGGUAUAUAAAUUCACUGAGUGGUAAGAAAUUUGAAAUGUUUUUAGAGUAAAACAAAAGACAUAUCAUAAAAUAGUAGGAUACAAAUCCUGCAUGACUUUCUAAGCUUAACCACGGGGCUUUAGGGAAAGUUUGGGCUUGAAUGUAAGUGGGAGGGAGGUUGGGGGUAAGUGUACAAAACUUUACGCAGGGCCCUGGCGGCAAGCCUCUGAGAGUAUGCUUUCAUUUUCCUCUUGUAUUUGAAAUACUUCAGGGAGAGAUGAGAGGCGGUGGCUUCAAAUGGCAGGCCAUUAAUGCCUGUCUUCAGGGCUGGGCGCUAACACCACUGUUAUGAAACCAUCAUACCAUGGAGUCAGGUGAGGGGGCAAGCCCCCCACCUCUCCCCACUGUAUUAUAGCAGGAGCCUUCCGGGACUUUGGUCAGGCAAUGCCCCUUGGAUUUAUCCAAGACAAAAGAAUAUGCAAAAGAGUGAAAUCUGUGCUUGAACUAGUUAUCUUAAAGUGAGGUAGGUGCCAGAAUACGUCGGAUCUCAUAUGCGAUGCCAUUUGAACUCCUGGCUGUGACCCAAGGAAAAAGCAGGCGUGGGGAUCAGGCACGGCCACCUCAUAAACAUUCUGCCUGCCAUUCGCCUCAGUGCAGUAAAGGUUAUGUUUGUUUGAGGUCAUUACCUUUGUCUUUUCUUUCUCUCUCUUUUCUUGUUCAUAAAUCUCAGUUCUUGGCAUGCUAUUUCCCCUCUCCCAGUACUCUCACUGCUCUCUGCAUUUCUUCUGGACAAUGGGUGCUAAACCUUUAAUCUUCGCGAUUUUUCUCUGAGUGCCCACUCAGGUGGGGGGAGGGGAAGUGUCUAUUUGGUUACUCAAUGAGUUUUUGUCCCUGAGGGCUAGAAGGAGGUGAAAGGAUUUGGGAGUUUUUUUUCUUUUUUAUGAAGAACUUUCUCUGUUCCUCCUUGGGUAGUUCUUGAAUGAUCAAGUCCUGGGGCGAUUAACCUCUUGAUGUCUGUGAGUGUUUGAAAUUUCCUGUGUGUGCCUCGGCAACAGACUUCCCUGGAAUGUGUUCUUGAAAUUCUGCAGGGUGGCCUCGCUCCCACAAAGUGGGACCUGUUCUACACGGGCCCCGGAGAGGAAGGAAAUGUCAGACAGGUGGAGUUAUGAGAAUUACAUGGAGGAAACAGUCAAAAUGUCACUUUAUAACUAAUUCAAGUGUAAUAGAAAUGUAAUAAUGUACAGUGACCCAUUUUGCAUUUACAUACCAUCUUUCAUCUGACUGUGGAAAAUAUUAAUCUCUUCAGUGCAACGGUCUGGUUUAUGCGAGGAGUCCCGUCUGUGUUUUGUUUUGUUUUGUUUUGUUUUGUUUUGUUUUGUUUUCCUCCUCCCCCAGGCAAAGAAAGAGUAACUGACUUAUUCAGGUUCGCACAAUAGCUCCUCAGAUUUGAGAGAAGUUGGUGUUGGUGUUAUUUUCAGGCCCUGGGGACAGGAGAGGGGAUUGGAAAACAAAGAUGGCUUUUCUCUGGCCAAAUGGUCACCCUGUGAAAUCCCUUCCUGAUGGGCGAGCUCUUUCAGGUGAGCACAACCAAUGCAGUCAAAAAAUAUGAAAACAAAACAAAACAAGACCAGUAUGGCCUAUACUUUCCACAGGUUUCUGUGAAAGGUGAGGGUGUGGCAUGGCCCUUUGCCUCUGGGAUCUCUGACCGGUGGUUCAGGAAUUUGUCUGGUUUAUCUCGCGAAUGCUGUUGAACACUUGGCAGGACGUAUUUCAGGGGUCUAAGGCAGGUGUUUGAAAGUAAUGGUGUCAGAGUUGGGGGAUAACAUGAAAACUUCAGCAACAUCCAGGAAGAUGGGGUGGGGCGUAUUUUAUUUGGCGAUCCAAUCUGUCUUCUCCUCAGUCCCAAUGAAACUGUGGCUGGAGGAUAAGUUAAACGCUUCUGGAAGCUAAAUUUAGAUCACUUAUGAAUCUCACUUGAUGAGAUUUGUGGAGAUCAUUUGAUUUGUCUAUGUGCUUGUUUAUUUUUCCGUAUCAUCUGUUUCCAUGAGAGAGUUUAGGGAUAUUAUAACAAGCCUUUGAAGAUCAAUAACAAAGGACAAGGGGAAGGGAUAUGCAUCAAGUCACAAACUAGCAUAGUGUUUAUGAUGGGGGUAGUAGCUUUAACUCUGACGCAAAAGGCACAGGGAGACAGAAGGGAAACACAGCAAGUUGUGUGAUGUGCUUUAUCCGGUAGAAAGACAUGGCAGUCGUUCAGAUGAGAAGACCUCUAUCUAGCACUGUAUUGAUUUCUGAAAUAAAUUUAUGUCAAAAAUCUGUACCCAAGGCAUUUUGAAAAACAUGAUGACUAUAUUUUUAGCUGCUUUUUUGCAAGAGCUGCAGCAGUGUGUGUAUGUGUGUGGGGGCAAUUGUGACCUUUCCUCAGCCGCUCCCAGGAAUUCCUUUCUGUGCCCUCUCUCCCUUUGAGGACAGGGGGGCUUAGGGUGGCUGGAUGCAGGCUAGCGUCUCCACUGCAGUUUUGGGGAGCAUGCAAUAAAAGCUGGCUUCCGGCCAACUCAACAGAAGAGCCAGCCUUUUGGAGGACAGAGUAAUAGAGCCCCUCUGCAUUGCUUCCUGGCGUCCAGGCACAGGUCCUGGUGGACAGUCCCUUUGGGGCUCAGCAGUGGAUGAACGAUGCCACUCUUCCUUCCAGCAUCGCCAUGCUUGGGACAAAACUCCUAGAAGACAGUCCGGGUGGCACCGCGUGGGUCAUGUGGCACCUCCUUAGUAGACCGCUUCAAGGAUUCCGUCAGCCUCGGCAGAACUGUAUGCAAGAUGGGAAGAGGACAGACCCCUCUGGGAAACUGGACGCCUGUCAGGGGAAGGGCUUCCUUCCUGCAGGGCACUGUCACUGCACCCCUCAUGGGCUCUGCCGAGGGAAAUCUGAUUCAAAACUAAAGCUGUUUGUUACUGUUUUCCAUUAUCUGAGCUCAUCCCCCCAGGGUUCUCACGCUGAACGGAUCAAUCUGAAGGCUAAGAAGAGUAUGAAUUUUCUAUCACCAAGAAAGGGGCCUGCUGAGCAAUUUCCUAGGCCUGCCACACCACAUGGCCACAAUCUGGGUGGCUUCAAACAACAGGGAUCUAUUCUUUCCCAGUUCUGGAGGCCAGAAAGAAGUCUGAGCGCAAGGUGUUGGCAGGGCCCGCUCCCUCUGAAGGCUCUGGAGGAGAAUCCUUCCCUGCCUUUUGCAGCUCCUGGGGGUGGCCGCCGGCCUCCUCCAUCCUCUGCCUCUGUGUCAUUCCUCGUCUUCUUUCCUAUGUGUCUCUCCUCACAUGGUGUUUUCCUCUCUGGGUCUCCUCUUCUUCAAAGACAUCAGUAGUUGGAUUGAGGGCCCGCUCUAAUCCAGUGUGACUUCAUGGUCUGAAGGUUUGUGUCCCCCCAGACGCAUAGGUUGAAAUCGUCACCCAAAUGCGAUGGUGUCGGGAGGUGGGGCCUUUGGGAGGUGAUUCGGUCAGGACGAUGGAGCCCCAGGUAGGGGAUUAGUGCCCUUGGUAAACAGAGACCCCAGAGAGCUCCUUCGCCCCCUCCUUUGCUCCCUCCUUCGCCCCUCCUACCAGCCUAGGAGGGGCCCCAGCCCCAGCCUAACGGGCACUGGCUACGAACCGGGAAAGGGCUCUUAACCUGGCCAUGCUGGCACCCUCACUUCCGACCUCCAGGGCCGAGACAGAAACUUCCACGGUUUAGAAGCCGCCCAGUCUGUGGAAUUUUUGUUAUAGCAGCCCCAACAGACUGAGACAGAAAACCAGUAUGACCUCCUCUUCCCUUACAUUUUAAUUACAUCUUCACGGUUCCUAUUUCUAACUAAGGUCAUAUUCACAGAUUUCAGAUGGACGUGCGUUUAGGGGAAGGGAUAUACGAUUCAACCCAGGACAGGCAGAGGGUGAAGUAGACUCCCCCGGUUGGUUGAUGAAGUCAACUUUAUUUCUUUAUGUAUUUAUGUAUUUAAUUUUUUUCAAUGUUUAUUUUUGAGAGAGACAGAGACAGAGCAUGAGCGGGGGGAGGGGCAGAGAGCGAGGGAGACACAGAAUCCGAAGCAGGCUCCAGGCUCUGAGCGGUCAGUACAGAGCCCGACGUGGGGCUUGAACUCGAGAACCGUGAGAUCAUGACCUGAGCUGAAGUCUGACAUUCAACCGACUGAGUCACCCAGGUGCCCCUAUUUAUUUAUUUAUUUAUUUAUUUAUUUAUUUAUUUAAAGUUUAUUUCUUUAUUUUGAGAGAGAGAGACAGAGCACGUAAGUGGGGGAGGGGCAGACAGGGAGACACAGAGAGAGAGAGAGAGAGAGAGAGAGAGAGAGAGAGAGAGAGAAAAUCCCAAGUAGGCUCCACACUGCUGGCACAGAGCUCAAAUCCACGAACCGUGAGAUCAUGACCUGAGCCGAAGUCAAGAGCUGGACACUUAACCGACUGACCCACCAAGGCGCCCCUGAUGAAGUCAACUUUAGAUACAAAAACAAAUGGGUUUAACCUGGAAUUCAUUGAGAGGGAAGCUUCCUAUAGUGGAAUUUAAUGGACACUUUUGUUUUCUGACUAAACCCCUUUUAAAAGUGCUUGGACUCUGUAACUAGGAAAAAGAGGUAUUAUACAUUUCUGGGACUGGUUUGUGAAAACUUAGUUUUUAGGGAGUCUCACAUUAAGUAGGCUUAAGUUGCUUUGCCGUGAGAGAAAAUAAUUUUCAUUUUCUUCUGUGGAUGAGUUCGUGGUUUGGAACAGGGGCAUUCCUAGACCUUAAUGUUUCCGUUUAUCUCAGCGUGUUGUCCCCUUGGCUUUAGGCCUACUUACGUCUCUGUUCUACCCCUCUCACCUUUCUCUCCCCAAAUUUAGAACUGACAAUCCCUUGAGUUACGUGGAGGGAAGAAAACAACGGUUCAGGUCUCUCAGGGAGAUUCAGAAAGAGAACAGAAACUCAGAGACAUGAAGCAUUCUGUCCCUCUUGGCUUGUAUGCACACUCGGAACUAAGUCACAGAGAUGUCGUUCCCAUGGUGACCCAACGGCACGGCCACAGAGAGUUUGCUGGGUGUCAACUCAGCUGUUUUUUCCUAAUCUCCUAUAACACAGCAGUCAUAUAGAGAAAUGCAAUUGGGCUUGACUUUAACAUGGCUUUUUAUUUUUCCUGACGCAGGUCUGGCUGGCAGGAUCGGGGGUGGAGUUUUGAGCGGCGAGGCUGGAAUGGUGGACAAGGGCCAGUUGACCAGGGUCACUGAAAGCCUUGCUAAAAGUAGACUUCAUCCGGGAAGGCUCCCUUUCUCAAAUUCUGCUGUCAGACCACCUACAUGAGAAUCCCUUGUGGGUACUCGUUAAAAAUGUAAAUUCCUGGGCUCCACCCAGACCUUUUAAACCAGAGUCCAGGGAGUGGCUCAGAAGUUUGCAUUUUUUGCAAGCACCCCAGGGGAUUCUUGUGCAAACUGAAGUUUGAGAGCUAUUGCUGUAGGUCAUUUGGAGCCUGGCAGGCAGGAAGCAGACGUGGGGUUCAGCAAGAGUACUUUGAUACCGUAGGAAGUGACUGCAGCUAGGUGGCUGGUUCAUAAUCCGGACUUUUAUGAAACACCUGCAUCCUAUGCUUCCUUGUGCUGUGCACUGUUUGAGAUGAUUUAGAAACAGCAACUCAUUUAAUUCUCCUAACAACCCCAGGAUCGAGUUCUGUUAUUAUCUCCACGUUCUGGAGGAGGAAACUGAGGCACAGACACUGGCCCGAGAUCAGACAGUGGUGUGAGCACCCAUCCUCAACUACUAAGCUCUGCCGAGAUGGAAGGGCGUGGCCACCUAUUGGACAAGCGCCUCGAGGAAGGAGAAAUCAAGGACAACCAAGAGGAUGAUGGGAACGUUACCCUGAACCUGAAUGUGCAGAUGUGCUUGUUUCUACGUUCUUCUGCUGCUAACUCCCCCCUUAUUAGUUGUGAGGUCUUUUUUUUUUUUUAAUUUUUUUUUUUUAACGUUUAUUUAUUUUUGAGACAGAGAGAGACAGAGCAUGAAUGGGGGAGGGUCAGAGAGAGGGAGACACAGAAUCUGAAACAGGCUCCAGGCUCCAAGUUGUCAGCACAGAGCCGGACGCGGGGCUCAAACUCACAGACCGCGAGAUCGUGACCUGAGCCAAAGUCGGCCGCCCAACCGACUGAGCCACCCAGGCGCCCCUGUGAGGUCUUUAAAGGCGGGUAUCCUGAAAUCACCCACGGCUUCCAAAAGGUAAGUAGCCCAUGUCAGCUUGCACAGGCACCAGACUCAAGACGAGGAAGUCAAGAUCUUAGAAUCAUCUCUGUCAAUAACUUGCUGUGUGGUAGAGUUAGUAAACAUCAGUUUCUUGAUCAGAGAAGUGAAAGCAUACAUACAUGUUGCUUCCUCCUGUGAAAUGAGCAAGGCUUCAGGGUUGCACAGCUCUAGAGGGUGCCAUUCAGUACCCUCUGGGGUAUCAUUCUGGGGAUACCCAAGUAGGAGCUGCAAUUAUUAUUAUUAUUAUUAUUAUUAUUAAUUAUUAUUAUUGUUAUCAUCUAUAAAUUUCUUCCAGCUUGAACAUUGGGUGUCUGAAAACACUUGAAUGAUUCCUGCCCCCAUGCCCUGCCCGAGAAAUAAAGAAAGUGGGUUUGAACUUGAAGACCAAAAAUAGUCUAUAGUCAAUUUUCUCUCUGUAACUGGUUUGUUCCUCCCACCUAGUUACCUCUGUCGAAUUCAUUUGAAUCCCUUGCUGGCAACUUCUUUCCUGGCAAUGUCCACCUCCAGGUAAGUGAGGAAAGCACAGACCUGGACAGAGGCUGACUAGACUAGCACCUUCGCCAGCUGGCUGCCUUUGUCUCUAUAGCUGAGCAAAGUCAUCUGUGGACAAGACAUUUUUCCAGUGAAGGCUGCUUUGCCUGAUGGUAUGCACUAGCUGCUGAGAUGUCUGUACAUUGUUGCAAGAAGCCUGGAGAAACAGAGAUGGCUGUUCUCAAACGACUUCUACGGCUAAUUUUAGAAAGAAAUCUAGACUAAAGGAAAUGCUGUCUGCUGUUCCUAUGCAAUAUUCAUCAGGUGAAGACCCUUUCCUCAGGACAUUUCCUGAGGAAGUGUGAUCUCACACUUGAAUUUAGAAAUGGUGUCUUCUGAGGAAUUUCGAGAAAUUCGGUAUCUUUUCAUUCAUUCGUUCAUUCAUUCAACCAACUUUUAUUUGGUGUUUAUCGACCCCACAUUCCAGGCAUAGAUUACAUAUCAAUGACCUUGUGUACUAUUUAUGUACAUUUGAGGUCAGAAGACCCGUUUUUAAAUCCUCCCACUAACUUUGCCAACUCUGUGAGCCUCAGUUUUCUAUUCUCACAGGGACCUUGUUGGAGUCGAAUGAUUUCAUAUGCAUUAUGGAUGUCAUAUGUCAAUGGGAGGUGCCAACAUUAGGGAUAUGAGGAGUGUGUUGCUAGGGCAAGCCUUAACUGUGUAGGUAACAAUGGAAUUCUGAUUAAGAAUGCACUUAGGUGGGGGCGCCUGAGUGGCUCAGUUGGGUAAGCAUCUGACUCCUGAUUUUGGCUCAAGGCAUGAUCCCAGGGUCGUGGGAUCGAGCCCUGUGCCGGGCUCAGCGCUGAGCAUGGAGCUUGCCUAAGAUUCUGUCUCUCUCCCUCUGCCCCUCCCCUCCUUCCCCCUCACCUCCCAUCCUACCUCGCCCCGCCCCGCUAGUGCAUAAGCUCUCUCUCUAAAAUAAAAAUAUAGAAGAACACUCUUAGGUGACUUCUCUCAGGGGAACUAACAGGAGAGAAACAAGCUCUAGGCUACUUGCUUUAUCUCUGGGCAUGAAUUAAGCCUUUAAAACCCUUUAGGGAGUAGGGGAUGCCCCACUUUCCAAAGUCAGUAAUCCUCCAAGGCUACUUGACUUCCAGAGUUUUUCACCAACCAUUCACUGAUCCCUGUUUUCCUGUUCAAUGCGUCUUCAUAAUACACCUGCUAGUGUGCAGGAAAUAUCCUCCUUCCCACUUCCAUGGCGAUGGACUCCUGGAAAAGGCAGCCUGCACGGAAAGAGAGGCAAGGGCAGGUAACAAAAUGGUUCUUAUUGGGUCUAUUUGAUUCCUACUAGGCAGGGGCUUGGAUGAUUUGACCAAAAUUCUACCCAGGUGGUGGAGAAGAGAAGGCUGAGUUGAGCGCCCUGUCUUGGUUCUAUUUACCAAGUCAGAGCCAACUGAUGAGAGGAGGGUGUGUGUCCCUUUCUGGCUGCUCUGCUCCUGAGUCAUGUCCUUGGUAAGCCCACAGCCUUUGAAUCUGGAAAGGUACCAUGUGAUGGGGCUGCAUUCACAAGUCUGUAGGCAUCUCUAGGAGUUCCAGAAAGCACUGACCGCUCUCGAGAACCUUAAGAAAAUGUCUUUAAUUUCAAACCCCUCCUCUUCAUUCAUUAAAUCCUCAGACUUCCUUUUGGAGCGUAAGACAGGGCAGUGUCCUGGGCCACCGUGGACUUGACCACUCUUCAGAUCUGCGUUGUCUAGUAUGACAGCCACAUGUGGGUAAUGAGCACUAGAAAUGUGGCUAGGCACCAUGGACAUUUGCUGUAAGUGUAAGGUAGUCACCAGAGCCCGAAGACCGAAGACCCAAGGAGGAAUGCCAGUGAUAUCAUGAGCGACUUUUCAAUAUUGAUUACAUAGUGAAAUGAUAAUAGUUUCGAUUUAUUUAUUUAUUUAUUUAUUUAUUUAUUAAAACCCCAAACAUUUAUCUUGUGACCAGUCGUUGAACUCCUGCAGAUGAACUGGAUGCAGCAACAGCCGCCCUCUUGGGUUUAGGUAUCGUUCCUUCGCAGAAUCCGUGCCUGAAUCUACGGUACACAAUUUUUAGGCGUCUCAUUUGACUGGUCCCCGUGGUAUUUCAUCUCUUAGCCUUGGCGCUCCAGUUAUACUUUCAAUCACACUUCUUAUUUCGCUUAUUUUAAAAACACUGACAUUUACUAAUUAUUUGGAUUUUAGCAUCCUAACUUGAAAAGUACUCUCUCUGUUAUGGGCUGAAUUAUGUCCCUUCAACGUGGCCUCAGAAUGUGACUGACUGUAUACGAAGACCAGGCCUUUGAAGAGAUGGUUAAGUUAAAAUGAGGCUUUUAAGCUGGGUCUUAAUCCAAUCUGGCUGGUGUCCUUAGCAGAUGAGGAAAGCUGGACAUAGAAAGAGGCAUGAGGGAUACCCAGGAACAAAGGAAAAACUAUGCGAGGACACAGCAAGAAGGCAGAUGUCUGCAAGCCAAGAAGAAAGCCUCAGGAGAAACCAUCCCUGUGAACGCCUUGAUCUUGGACUUCUAGCCCCCCGAAGUGUGAGAAAAUUAAUUUCUGUUGUUUAAGCCGCCUGGUCUGUGGUAUGUUUUCGUGGCGGCCCUUGGAAAUGUAUACACUAACCUUUUUCUUGGUAGAGCUGGAGAAAGCUUAGUGACAAGAGAAAACAAUUUCUCCAAGGCCAGAAAUCUGCUUCCUGCAACAAUCUGUUGGGGCCUCAAAGAGAGCUGGGAACACUUCUCUCUCUUAUUGCUUCUGUCUGAGAUCAGCGUCUGCUCUCCAGUCCCCAUGCCCAUAUUGUGUGCUUCUCUGUCUCCUCUUCUACUAACAGUCCUCUUUGUUCCUUGACAGAUGAUGAAGAUUUAAGGAGCACUAGCGUCAGAAAACUGGCGUUUUGAAGAGAACUGGCUGACCUCAAGGUUUUAUAUCUAGGUCUAUGGAAACACACAAACCCUUUUUCUUCUAAAGUUCUUUCAAGACAUUAAUCUGAAGGAAAGAUAAAGCCAGAUGUAUUAAAAUAGUCACAGGAUUCUGAACACGUUUAUUGGUAGAAAGAAUUUAGUGUUCUAGAAAAUUUUAUAUCUAUUGGACAAUAGGGGUAACCAAAAGAUUCGAAGGGAGGAUGCCAGGCCAUAUGACUUCUAGAGUUUUCUGCUAACUCUAAGAUCAACAGGUCUGUAACUUUCUGUCCUAGGGUUUCAUCUACUCUGGAUGGGAGCAGUCUUAGGGAUGGAGAGAGGACCGUUCAGACCAGGUGCAUCUUGGAGCUGGUGAAUGUCAGUGGAAGCUUCAUCUUCACAGACAUCUGCCUUCUAGAAAACAGAGUUGUGGUCAAUCGCUUUGCCAAUGAGUCAAGAAACUGUUUUCUUAACCAGGUCAGUAGAAUAGCAUAAAAGGCCUUAAGUCACAUCAAGUCUCCUUAGAGAUGAUUUUUGAACUUGCAGAACAUGCGUCUAUAAAUUGGCUUGGACACAGAUUUCACUGAAGGGAGAAAAAGUACAAAAGACUAUGAUAGACCCAAGGAUUAUUGUCUUGGCUUCUCUAGAACAGCUGUCUGGCAAAUGUUACACCACGUCUGAGAUUAUUUUAGAAACUUUGUCUUGGAGAAGAACACGUAGGGAGAAUACCAGACGGAUUUGCUCCUUUUUUUCCCCCUCCCCAUCACAGAAUAAGAAUUUCAAGGACAUUUGUACUUUCGAUGAGAUCAUCCUGGUGAUGGUCUUAUUUUUUGAAACUUAAAUCAUGUCACAUCUAGUAAAUUUAUAGCCAAGUGUGGUUACAGCAGUGAGUUGAUCCCAAUAUAGCUAUUUAGGUCUCCCUCCUCCUUUUCCUUUUCUUUAUUAUCAUGAUAAAUAGAAUAUUCUAAAGAUAUUUUGUUUCACCAAGUAUCAGUUGAAGCAUUCUAAAUGAAAAAUGUAUUUAGUGGUGAGAUGAUCAAUGAUACCUACUUUCUUCAGGGCCACCUGACUGGCUCUGUCGGUAGAGCAUGGAACUCUUGACCUUGGGAUUGUA
rnacentral:lncRNA from 1 species